AAUAUUGGACAAUGGGGGCAACCCUGAUCCAGCCAUGCCGCGUGUGUGAAGAAGGUCUUCGGAUUGUAAAGCACUUUAAGUUGGGAGGAAGGGCUUUAGGCUAAUACCCUGAAGUUUUGACGUUACCAACAGAAUAAGCACCGGCUAACUCUGUGCCAGCAGCCGCGGUAAUACAGAGGGUGCAAGCGUUAAUCGGAAUUACUGGGCGUAAGGCGGGCGUAGGUGGUUAAGUAAGAUGGGGGUGAAAUCCCCGGGCUUAACCUGGGAACUGCUUUCAUAACUGCUGAGCUGGAGAACGGUAGAGGGUAGUGGAAUUUCUGGUGUAGCGGUGAAAGGCGUAGAUAUAGGAAGGAAAACAAGUGGCGAAGGCGACUACCUGGACUAAUACUGACACUGAGGUGCGAAAGCGUGGGAGCAAACA
rnacentral:rRNA from 1 species